GACGAACGCUGGCGGCGUGCCUUACACAUGCAAGUCGAACGGCAGCACGGACUUCGGUCUGGUGGCGAGUGGCGAACGGGUGAGUAAUAUAUCGGAACAUACCUUGUAGUGGGGGAUAACUAUCCGAAAGGAUAGCUAAUACCGCAUACGCUCUAAGGAGGAAAGUGGGGGAUCGCAAGACCUCAUGCUAUAAGAGUGGCCGAUAUCUGAUUAGCUAGUUGGUGAGGUAAAGGCUCACCAAGGCAACGAUCAGUAGCUGGUCUGAGAGGACGACCAGCCACACUGGAACUGAGACACGGUCCAGACUCCUACGGGAGGCAGCAGUGGGGAAUUUUGGACAAUGGGGGCAACCCUGAUCCAGCAAUGCCGCGUGAGUGAAGAAGGCCUUCGGGUUGUAAAGCUCUUUUGUCAGGGAAGAAACGGUUGUGGCUAAUAUCCAUGGCUAAUGACGGUACCUGAAGAAUAAGCACCGGCUAACUACGUGCCAGCCGCCGCCGUAAAAC
rnacentral:rRNA from 1 species